AAACUCUCAAAACAUCCUCCAAACCGUAGCUGAAAGCAAAGAAGGACAAGGUGCUCCGAAUUAAUCCAUCCACAAACUCACUCGCGGGAUUUCAAGUAGGAAAGCUUGCAACCACCGUUGAUGAUGAUGAUGCUAUGAAAAGAAGUAGCGUUGAUGCCUAGAUACACAUUUAGACGUUUAGGUUUAAUAUGUUGUAUCAAUUUUGCUCGUGUUGUCAUGUACUUCUUUUGAACUUGUUGUAUUUGAA